rnacentral:rRNA from 1 species
GAGUUUGAUCCUGGCUCAGAUUGAACGCUGGCGGCAUGCCUUACACAUGCAAGUCGAACGGCAGCACGGGAGCUUGCUCCUGGUGGCGAGUGGCGAACGGGUGAGUAAUGCAUCGGAACGUAUCCUGGAGUGGGGGAUAACGUAGCGAAAGUUACGCUAAUGCCGCAUAUUCUGUGAGCAGGAAAGCGGGGGACCUUCGGGCCUCGCGCUCUUGGAGCGGCCGAUGUCGGAUUAGCUAGUUGGUGAGGUAAAGGCUCACCAAGGCGACGAUCCGUAGCAGGUCUGAGAGGAUGAUCUGCCACACUGGAACUGAGACACGGUCCAGACUCCUACGGGAGGCAGCAGUGGGAAUUUUGGACAAUGGGGGCAACCCUGAUCCAGCCAUGCCGCGUGAGUGAAGAAGGCCG